GCAGUGGGGAAUAUUGGACAAUGGGGGCAACCCUGAUCCAGCAAUGCCGCGUGUGUGAAGAAGGCCUUCGGGUUGUAAAGCACUUUUAUCGGGAGCGAAACGCGCCAGGCCAAUACCCGGGCGAACUGACGGUACCUGAUGAAUAAGCACCGGCUAACUUCGUGCCAGCAGCCGCGGUAAUACGAAGGGUGCAAGCGUUAAUCGGAAUUACUGGGCGUAAAGCGUGCGUAGGCGGUACGUUAAGUCUGCCGUGAAAGCCCUGGGCUCAACCUGGGAACGGCGGUGGAUACUGGCGUGCUGGAGUGCGGUAGAGGAGGGUGGAAUUCCCGGUGUAGCGGUGAAAUGCGUAGAGAUCGGGAGGAACAUCAGUGGCGAAGGCGGCCCUCUGGACCAGCACUGACGCUGAGGCACGAAAGCGUGGGGAGCAAACAGGAUUAGAUACCCUGGUAGUCCACGCCCUAAACGAUGCGAACUGGAUGUUGGGCACAUUACGGUGCUCAG
rnacentral:rRNA from 1 species